rnacentral:rRNA from 1 species
ACGGAAAGGCCCUGCUUUUGUGGGGUGCUCGAGUGGCGAACGGGUGAGUAACACGUGAGUAACCUGCCCUUGACUUUGGGAUAACUUCAGGAAACUGGGGCUAAUACCGGAUAGGAGCUCCUGCUGCAUGGUGGGGGUUGGAAAGUUUCGGCGGUUGGGGAUGGACUCGCGGCUUAUCAGCUUGUUGGUGGGGUAGUGGCUUACCAAGGCUUUGACGGGUAGCCGGCCUGAGAGGGUGACCGGCCACAUUGGGACUGAGAUACGGCCCAGACUCCUACGGGAGGCAGCAGUGGGGAAUAUUGCACAAUGGGCGGAAGCCUGAUGCAGCAACGCCGCGUGCGGGAUGACGGCCUUCGGGUUGUAAACCGCUUUCGCCUGUGACGAAGCGUGAGUGACGGUAAUGGGUAAAGAAGCACCGGCUAACUACGUGCCAGCAGCCGCGGUGAUACGUAGGGUGCGAGCGUUGUCCGGAUUUAUUGGGCGUAAAGGGCUCGUAGGUGGUUGAUCGCGUCGGAAGUGUAAUCUUGGGGCUUAACCCUGAGCGUGCUUUCGAUACGGGUUGACUUGAGGAAGGUAGGGGAGAAUGGAAUUCCUGGUGGAGCGGUGGAAUGCGCAGAUAUCAGGAGGAACACCAGUGGCGAAGGCGGUUCUCUGGGCCUUUCCUGACGCUGAGGAGCGAAAGCGUGGGGAGCGAACAGGCUUAGAUACCCUGGUAGUCCACGCUGUAAACGGUGGGUACUAGGUGUGGGGUCCAUUCCACGGGUUCCGUGCCGUAGCUAACGCUUUAAGUACCCCGCCUGGGGAGUAC